UACGUAGGGUGCAAGCGUUGUCCGGAAUUAUUGGGCAUAAAGAGCUCGUAGGCGGUUUGUCGCGUCUGCUGUGAAAACUGGAGGCUCAACCUCCAGCCUGCAGUGGGUACGGGCAAACUAGAGUGCGGUAGGGGAGAUUGGAAUUCCUGGUGUAGCGGUGGAAUGCGCAGAUAUCAGGAGGAACACCGAUGGCGAAGGCAGAUCUCUGGGCCGUAACUGACGCUGAGGAGCGAAAGCAUGGGGAGCGAACAGG
rnacentral:rRNA from 1 species